rnacentral:rRNA from 1 species
UACGUAGGUGGCAAGCGUUUAUCCGGAAUUAUUGGGCGUAAAGAGCGCGCAGGUGGUUGAUUAAGUCUGAUGUGAAAGCCCACGGCUUAACCGUGGAGGGUCAUUGGAAACUGGUCAACUUGAGUGCAGAAGAGGGAAGUGGAAUUCCAUGUGUAGCGGUGAAAUGCGUAGAGAUAUGGAGGAACACCAGUGGCGAAGGCGGCUUCCUGGUCUGUAACUGACACUGAGGCGCGAAAGCGUGGGGAGCAAACAGG